CUGUGGCCAUACCACCUGCAUGUGCCCGAUAUCGUGUGAUCUUGGGAGCUAAGCAGGGUCAGGCCUCGGUAGUACUGGCAUGGAAGGAUUUUACUCUUUAUGGUAAGAGUUUGGGGAAGCCAUCCAGU
rnacentral:rRNA from 1 species